UAUCACUUCAGUGAUGCUUAUACUAAAGUUGGAAUAAUACAAACAAGAGUAGCACGGUCCCUGCGUAACAAUGACAUGCCAGUUAAUGAAGUGUUCCAUAUUGGG